GGAUUUUAUGCACUCUUUUUUAAACCGGGGAGUAACCCACAUUUGUUCUUUUGCAGGGUUUUUGUAAUUUUUCUGAAGGUGCAGGAUUUGCCCGAGAGGCAACUUCCCCCAAGGGUUUCUUGGGUUUCUCUGCCUGAAAAACACUCUUUUUCUUCUGCACAUUUGACCAAGCGGAAGCAGGCGGGCAGCCCUCGGCCCGCGUCCUGCAGUCCCCGCGUCCCAUUCUCCACAGCUCAGCUGAGAGCGCUGGAGAGCAGCUUCCAACAGACCCCGUACCUGAGCCCCGGGCAAGUGAGGGACUUGGCUCUGCGGCUGGAUCUCCCGGAGAACCGGGUGAAGAUCUGGUUCCAGAACCGGAGAGCUCGGGAACGGAGGGACCAUCUGAAGCAGCACACAGCCAGCGGGCUGGGUGUGAAGAGCCCCCCCCUGCAGAGGCAGCCCCCUCCGGCUUGGCACUAAGGGGGGACCUGGGGGCGGGAAGCAGCGGGGAAGCCUGCAGUGGGCUUUCCUGCCUCCCAGUCCCCGCUUCUCAUCCACACUGCUGAGCUGCAUGGCUGUUGGGAGCCAGGGAAUCGACUCCUUCAUGUUUGGAGCCGAUCCAUCCAAUGUGCCAGGUAUUGCCCCGGCUUCCCUGCAGCCCAUCGGCCUCCGUCCUGCCCCCGCAGCCGCCAGCUAGCUCUUGUCCCCGUGCUGCCUCCCACAGGGAGGCAGCAAGCACCAUAUUUCUGCCACCAAAGCCAGCAACUGUAGUUUCAGGCUCUGGCUCUGUAUUCUCUCUUUCAAUGCCCAGAGGAGCCCUCCAAGCAGGGUGGCCAUCAGCCAGUAAAACAACAGCCCGGCCUGCUUCUCUGCCUCCCAGAAGCAGCUCAGUGCAGCAGUGGGAUGGUGUGUGUUUAGCAGAGGGACCCCAUCAUGCUUCACCAUUGGCUGGGGCUGAUGGGAGCUGCUGUUCACAACACCUGGUGGGCCAGAUGUGGGCCAGCACUGUUGAAAACCUCCCGUCUAUUUCCGGUGCAGGAGAAGAUGGAGGGAGAGCUCCUCUGUGCACCAGCCUCCUGCUAAGCGAGCCAACCACAAAGGAGGGUAGGAAAAGGUCGUCUUUGUGGAAAUGUGCCAGUUGCUCCGCUUAACGAGUUUCAGGUGUAGCCGCUCUGCGAAGGAGGGCUGCUUCGUAUGGUCUGAAGGCCCAGGUGGCCCUGGAAGCAAAGCACAGCUGGGCUGCCUUGUGCUUGGAGAGGAGACCACCUGGGAACCGCAGGGGCCCACCUUGAAUUCUACAAGGGGAGAAAGGAGGGAUGUAAAUAUAAAAGAUAAAUAAAAGGAGGGCUCUCUUGUCUUUUAGGAAAGCGUCUUGUGCAGUCCGGGUGUGUUCAGAGAAGAAAGCACCAUGGGGCUUUCUCGCUAAACACACAGACUUUUCCUGCACCUCGAUUCCUUGUGCCACGUUAUACUUUCCGCACCUGUAUCCCUCCUUUCUGUGAAAUAUCUGAAGCUGCUUAUAAAAUUAAAACCAUUCA